CAGUAGCCGCGGGAAUGCGAAGGGGGCUAGCGUUGCUCGGAAUUACUGGGCGUAAAGGGAGCGUAGGCGGAUGUUUAAGUCAGAGGUGAAAGCCCAGGGCUCAACCUUGGAACUGCCUUUGAUACUGGACAUCUUGAGUGUGGGAGAGGUAAGCGGAACUCCGAGUGUAGAGGUGAAAUUCGUAGAUAUUCGGAAGAACACCAGUGGCGAAGGCGGCUUACUGGCCCAUUACUGACGCUGAGGCUCGAAAGCGUGGGGAGCAAACAGGAUUAGAUACCCGGGUAGUCCCUGUCUCUUAUAC
rnacentral:rRNA from 1 species